rnacentral:rRNA from 2 species
UUGGAGGGCAAGUCUGGUGCCAGCAGCCGCGGUAAUUCCAGCUCCAAUAGCGUAUAUUAAAGUUGUUGCAGUUAAAAAGCUCGUAGUUGAAUUUCGGGAUCAGUAUGUUGGUCGUGCUUCGGUACGUACUGUCAUUACUGGUUUCUCCCUUCUGAAGAACCUUGAUGUCAUUAAUUUGGUGUCUUGGGGAAUCAGGACUGUUACUUUGAAAAAAUUAGAGUGUUUAAAGCAGGCAUACGCUUGAAUACAUUAGCAUGGAAUAAUGAAAUAGGACGUUUGAUUCUAUUUUGUUGGUUUCUAGGAUCGACGUAAUGAUUAAUAGGGAUAGUUGGGGGCAUUAGUAUUCAAUUGUCAGAGGUGAAAUUCUUGGAUUUAUUGAAGACUAACUACUGCGAAAGCAUUUGCCAAGGAUGUUUUCAUUAAUCAAGAACGAAAGUUAGGGGAUCGAAGACGAUCAGAUACCGUCGUAGUCUUAACCAUAAACUAUGCCGACUAGGGAUCGGAUGAUGUUAUUUUUAAUGACUCAUUCGGCGCCUUACGGGAAACCAAAGUGUUUGGGUUC